rnacentral:lncRNA from 1 species
GUGUACGUACUCUGGACUCAAGCUUCUGAAGCUGCUUCUUGCCACCUUUCAGUGCUAGCUGCUCAGCUUCAUCCAGACGAUGCUGCAGAUCCUUCACGGAUUGCUCAAGAUUCUUCUUCAUUCUCUCCAAGUGAGAGCUGGUGUCCUGCUCCUUCUUCAGUUCCUCUGCCAUAAGAGCAGCCUUCGUAAUAAAAAAAAAAAAUCCAAAAAGACUGUAAAUAAUAGAGCAAAAAAGCAAACCCAAGAUCUGCUCAUAAAGUGAAAACUUGGGAAAAACAUACAUCAGUGAUGGCCUUUUUGGCUUUCUCCUCAGCAUUUCUUGAUUCUUGGACAGCUUCCUCAGCUUCGCUCUGGAGUUGAGCAAUGUCAGACUCAAGCUUCUUCUUGGUGCCGAUGAGGUUGGUGUUCUGAAGUGGAGAAGAAUAUAGUGUUUUAAUUAUUCCAUCUAAUUAGGCAUAUUCUGUCAAUGCACAUUUAAUUUGUUUCCAUCGUAUUUAUUUUACCUGUGAGUGCAGAAGCUGGACACGUUCACUUGCAUCCAGGAGCUCUUGUUCUGCAGCCUUACGAGAUCUCUCUGUCUGCUCCAGAGCAGACCUGUUCUCUUCAAGUUCAGCCUGCAGCAGGUUGGUUCUACGUUCAAUCACAGCCACCUGUUCCUUCAGAUCUUCCUGUCCUCUUAUUGCAUCAUCCAGGUGAAGCUGGGCAUCCUGUUAAAGAAAUAUCAAAAUAUAUGUUCAAGCUGUUACCUAUUAUGGACAAUAUGCUAGAUACCACAUUUUCAGAAUCAACAGCUCUAACAUUAGAGUAAAAAUAAUAAAUAAUGUGUUAGGGGUACUCUUGAAAUACCUUAAAUUGGGCCUGGACAUUGCGGAGCUGCUUCUGUGCCUCUGCAGCCUGGCGGUUGGCAUGGCUGAGCUGGAUUUCAAGUUCAUUCAAGUCUCCUUCCAUCUUCUUCUUCAGUCUCAGAGCAUCAUUCCUGCUUCUGAUUUCAGAGUCCAGUGUGCUCUGCAGGGUAUCAACAGCUCUCUGGGAGUUCCUCUUCAGCUGUUCAAUCUCUUCAUCCUUCUCUGAAAUUUUUCUGUCCACCUCAGAUUUGAUCUGGUUCAAUUCCAGCUGAACACGUAGGAUCUUGGCUUCUUCAUGUUCCAAAGAUCCCUAUUAGAAAUAUAUAUAUAUAUAAUUGGUUGUUUAAACGUAUCUGUUCACACAGCAAUAUUGGUUGCAGAUAUUUUAUUAAUUUAUUUCAGGCACAUACCUCUGCUUCCUCCAGAGCAGCCUGUAGGUCACUCUUUUCCUGCUCAACUUGCUUCUUGGCCUUCUCCAGCUCGUUAAUGGAUUUACCAGAUUCACCGAUCUGUUCAGUGAGAUCUGAGAUCUCCUCUAUAAAAGUUAUGGGCAAAUAUUCAUUUAGACUUCGCUCUAUAGUAACUAGUAUUUAAGAUUUUUGUAAGUUCUGCAGAAAUUCAGCAGUACUAAUAUAUGUAAGGAUUGGUUCUGUUGUGACACAAGUACUACAGAAGGAGGAAAAUACAACAAAGAGAUUUAGGAAACCUAAAGGUCCCAUUUUAUACAAACAUUUAUAUAAUGUCAUCACAGUUCAGUAAUUUGCAUAGUUCCACUUCUUGUGUAUGUGUUUUUAGUUGCCAUCUGUAUAAUUAUACUAAUGCGAAUACUAGAAAAUAUGUUUAAUUUGAAGAAUUAUUUAAAAGUUAGCAUUGUAUCCUGCAACCAAUGUAAUAUAGAUAAACCUACGUUGCAAGUUCUUGUUUUCACGUUUCAAGGUCUCAACUUGUUCCAAGGCUUCCUCAUAAGCAUUCUUCAGCUUAAAGAUAUCGGUGCUCAGGCCACGGGAUUCUUUCUGAGCAGCCUCCAGCUCAGCCUGACCCUCUUCAUAUUUCUGCUUCCAUUCUACCAGCACCUAUUAUAUUAAUACAGAAUGAUAAUGUGUUGAUAGUGUAGAUUUUGUUUGUUUUUGCAAAUUUAGGAAUUUGUUUUCAAUAACUACCUUGUCGAAGUUCCUCUGCUUCUUGUCUAGAGCAGCUGCUGCACUGUUGGCUCUCUCAACAUCCACCAUCAGGUCCUCCACCUCAGAUUGUAGCCUCUGCUUGGUCUUUUCCAGGGAGGCACAUUUAGAGUUCACGGCCUCUACCUGUUCCUCAGCGUCCUGCAAGCGCUGGGCAAGCUUCUUCCUGUAAGGACAUUGAUGGUAGAACUUAAGGACCUUAUUCAAAGCCCAAUAACAUUGCUUAUAUUGGGUUUAUUUAGUGGGAACAUACUUGGCCUCUUCCAGUUCCUCUGUGCGCUGAAUGGCAUCCGUUUCAUAUUUGGUCCUCCAUUGAGCAACUUCACCAUUUGAUUUGGACAAUGAGCGCUGAAGCUCAGCCUUGGCCUCUUGUUCCUCCUCAUAUUGCUCACGGAGCAAGUCGUUGUCAUGACGGGAGGAUUGGAGGGCGUGAGCUAGGGCAUUCUUAGCCUGAAAAAACGCAGGAAAUAUGUAUUUGAUGGAAUUACAGAAUGAAAGGUUUGAAAAUGAAUGUUAGAUAGCAGGUGAUCUCUUUAUAGACUUAAUCCGAUGCCCUAAUCAACAAUUUGUAAUACAUUCAUAUUCAGAAGUCCUAAUAGUUUUACCUUUGAUUCCUCCUCAAGUUGUCUCUUGAGUUCCUCCACUUGUUGUGUGAAGCCUUGCUUUCCUCUUGAGAGCUGUGAAACCAGAGAUUCCCUCUCUUCAAGCUGGCGGGCAAGCUCACCUAGAGUGAACCAAAAAUUAAUGCAAAACUUUGCAAACAUAAAUAAGCAAUGUUGUAUGUAGCAAUGUUCUGAACUAAAUUACUAUUUAAUUUGACUUGACAAUGGGGUGCCUUGGCUACCCACUUGGAAAUAGGUUGGGCUUCUCACCUUUAAGUCUCAUAUUUGUCUGGGGGAAAUUGCAAGAUAGUUCUUUUAAAUUUCAAAGGUUUUGAUAUUUGGGAAAAUACUGCUUCCUUGACUAUAUGCAUGGCACACCAGUAACAGGCUUCCAAAAUGUAACCACGCAAGUCCCGCUCUACUCAGACUUUUUAAAAUGCAUUGAAACCUACUGACCUCUGGUGGAGUGGUUGUGGCAAGCAGGACAGGUACAUUCAGCCUUUCUGGUAUGCGGUUUAUUUUCUUAUCUCGAAUGUUCUGUCUAAAGUUUUUUUCUCAUAGUAAUUGGUAUUUACUCCUCUCUAAACCUCAGGACCCACUCACAAGUGCCACAACUAAAUGCGCAGCUAAAAUUGCAUUGGCAAGCCAAAGAGCCACAGCGGAACUGUGGCCGGAUAGUAAACAACCCCAGUAUGUCCACAUUUAUCUGCAAAAUCAGCAAAGCAAGGGAUAAAAUGACUGCUGUAGUUCACGAUACCCCCAAAACAUUUAAUAAAAUACAGGAUUCUUGCCUCUCUUUCCCUCAUUUUCUCUAGCCAAUUUCUCGACUUUUCUUCUCUAAUUGUCUUUAUAUGCACCUUCCUGUCAUUUUUUUUUUCUAGUUUUCCUGGGUGUAUUGUUACUUCAGUCAAUCACUUAUAUCCAAGUACACCAUUUAUUGAUUCUGCCUGUAUUACUUAUGCUGCCAUUAUUGUUAAUGAAUAUAUUCUCCUAUUUUCAUUUAUGGGGCUUUUUAUUGAAUUUACAAAAAAGGAGAAUGUGAAAGGUUAAAAUAUCCUGUAUAAAGACAGAUCAAAACAAUAUAUAAAGUUUUAUUCCUGGAGUUGAGCUAAAAUAAAAGCCUGUGGAAAAGGGUAGACUUGGCCAGGCUUUCAGAAAAUUGAUGGAUUGUGGCUUUUUCCAAGCCAGCUAUGUUGGUUUAUAUUUUGCAAUUAUCAACUCAUGUGUGUUUGGUUUGCUUCGAAAUCUUUCAAUUUAUUUUUCUACAUACCAUUCUCUGUUUGGAAGCGGGCCCUUUGGGUAGUUAGGUCAUUGAGAAGACGUUGAUGUUCAUCAUCCCUUGCCUUCACUUCACUGAGUUGGUCUUCAAGCACACGGUUCACUUUUUCAAGGUUGGCCUAGAAGGAAAAUUGUUAAUAUAAUAACUUGCACAGUUAUAGAUCAUAAAAAAUAAGUGUUCCCAUCUAACCACUUACCUUGGAUUUGGAGACAUUUUCGAGAUUGCUGGCGAGAUCAUCAAUCUCCAUUUUCAGCUCACUCUUUUCUUUCUCCAGCUUCUGCUUAACACGUUGUAGGUUAUCAAUUUGUUCCCCAAGUUCAGCAACACUGUCAGCAUGCUUUUUGCGCAGAGUAGAGGAAGUAGCUUCAUUCUGAAGGGUAGCUUCCUCCAAGUCACGUCUCAGUUUCUGGAACUCAGCUUCACGCUUCUUGUUCAGCUCAAUUUGAGCAGAAGUAGCACCUCCAGCCUCUUCAAGUCUCUCACUGAUCUCUUCAAGUUCUCUGGAGAGAUCAGCCCUCUGUUUCUCAACCUUGGCACGAGCUGCACGUUCUGCUUCAAUUUCCUCCUCAAGUUCUUCAAUACGAGCCUAGAACACCAGAAGUAAAUGUUGUAGGGAAAACGCAAUGUAGCUCACAGGAUUACGAAACAGACUCGCACAAACAUACCUGAAGUUCUUUGAUCUUCUUCUGCAACUGAGAUCCCAGGGACUGCUCGUCUUCUAUCUUUGACUGAAGCUGACUUAUUUCAAAGUCCUUCCUGCGUGUUAACAGAAAAUAUAAUGGCUUUUGUUAAACCGCUCUAAACAAAUAGGUUUUAAAACAAAAGAAACAAAUAUUAACAAUAACGACUAACUUCUUGACUUUUUCAUCAGUUUGCUGUUUGUCAUUUUCAAGAUCCAUGACUGUUUCCUGGGACAGCUUCAGAUCACCCUCAAGCUUCCUCUUGGCUCUCUCCAGAUCAAGACGGAGUUUCUUUUCUUGUUCUAGAGAUCCUUCAAGCUAUAAGGAGAGAUAAAUCACGUUGUAUUACAAUGGUUACAAGACAAUAGCAAGACAAUGUUUUAGAACAUAAUGUUCCAUUUCCACUUGUACGUACGUCAUCUACUUGCUGUUCUAGCUUAGUCUUGGCUUUUGUCAAACUGUUGACUUUGUCCUCUUCAGCUUGCAGAUCAUCAAGUGUUUGUUGGUGAGCCUCUUGAAGGGCUUUCUUCUCCUUGCUAACUUUGGACACAUUCUCAUCAAGGACUGCAAGUUCCUCAGUGAGGUUUUUAACCUAAACGUAUAUCAAAAAUUGUGAUUCAAAAUAUAUAAUGCAAGCUUAUUAAGCAUUAAGUAACAAAAGGGUUAUCUUUAUUAGUCUUCGCACCUUGUUUUCUGUAGCAUGUUUUUCCUUUUCUACUUUGGCCAAUGUAAGCUCCAAAUCAUCAAUAUCUUUCUUCAGCUCAGAGCAUUCAUCCUCCAGUUUCCUUUUCUUAGCUGUAAGUUCAGCAUUACUUUCCUCUUCAUCUUCAAGUCUCUCUGUGAUCUCCUUGAUUUUAGAUUCCAGUUGAAUUUUGUUCUUGAUGAGGCCUUCACAUCUUUCCUCUGCAUCAGCCAGAGUCUCACCUUCCUGUAUUGGAAAUAUAAUGUAUUUUUAGAAUAUUUGACUUUACUGUUUAGAUAUACUCUGUUUAUAUUUGUAUGUUCUUACCGACUGAACUUGCAGGAGCAAAUCAUUCUUCUCCUGAAGCAGGGAAACCAUUUUCUCUUCCAGUUCCUUCUUCUUGGCUUCUGACUUUACCAAAGCUUCCUUGGUCUUCUCAAACUCUUCUUUCAUGUUUGCCAUCUCCUUCUCAGUCUCAGCACUCUGCAGGAGAGGUUUGAUCUUGAAGUACAGUUUCAUCCAAGGCCAGUGUUUGACAUUCAUGAAUGACCUCACAUUGUACUGGAUGAUGUAGAUUGCUUCCCUGUAUAAUAGAUGUACAGAAGCUAAUGAAGAGCUUGGUGUAAGAAAAAAGACUUAACACUAAAAAAAAUUACGUAAAUGUUACCGUCUCUCAAUCAUCUUCUUGAACUCUGUUCUCAUCAAGAAACCUCUGCAAAGAGCUUGAGUGCAAGUAAUAAGUUGUGCCAACUUUUCAUCUCUCAUCUCUUCCAGGGUACCCAGAAGACCAGCUUUGAAGAACACCUGCAUAGGAGAGAAAACAAUUAUAGUAUUCUCUAAAACAUCAAUAUAGAUGUUAGUAUGUAAUGUUCCAGUGUCUUCAUACCUUAGUGUGGCCAAAUUUGUACUGAGUGUGAUCAACAUCAAUGGAGCCCAGAAGUUUCUCAGAAGCCUUCUUGCUGUCAACAAACUGCCCGUCUGGAAUAACGCUGGCAUUCAACACUUUGUAACUUUAAAAAACAAUUUUAGGUUUAAAUUCAGGGUAAAUGUUUAAUUUUAUAAACACAAUUUUUACUAGUUAAAUGGGUUUUUUUUUUUUUUUUUAGCACAUACUUGUAAAACAAAUACUUAUACUUUUAAGUUAUCAAUUUAUUUAAAGUUAUUCGUGAAAGAUACCGUUGUUUGAAGUCAGCAUAGAUGAUUCUGCUAGGGAAUCCUUUCCUGCAAAUUCUGAUACCCUCCAACACACCGUUACAUCUCAACUGGUGGAUGAUCAGAUGGUUUUCCAUGAUACCUGAAGGAGUUUAAAUAUGGUCAUUGUUUAAGGUGGACAACAUCCCAACAGUGAAAUACACUGUUCUCUUCUCAUAUAAAUGUAUUCAUAAUGGAAAUUUACCUGGAGUUUUGGACUCAUUAGGAAUCAAACAACGCACAAAGUGAGGGUGAGUGCUUCUCAAGGUGCUCAUCAGUUUGUUCAGAUUUUCCUGAAACAGAUAUGGAAAAUAUGUAAUUCAAUGUGACGUCUGAUGCUUAAAGUGGGGUAGAAAUAAAGCUACACUUAUUAUAAAAAAAGAAUACUAAUAAAUGUCCAGAUUUGUGUAAAGUAAACAAUAUAAAAUGUACAUACUCUGAACAAAGCAGACACAGUCUGGAAGGAGCCUCCCUUCUUCUUCUUUCCAGCGCUCUUUGCAGCAUCUAUUGUUUAAGAUUAAUGGUAGUUAUGUGUUAAACUAAUAAACGAUAAUGUGGAAGCAGUCACUAAUAUUGCAUGAUACAUCUUUUAAUACCCACCAUCAGUAGCUGAGUAGCUGGAGUAGAGUAAGGACAACAGUUUCACUGAAGACUUCUGGUAAAGCUGAACAACAGAAUCGUUCAGUGGGUCCUUGUUCUUGUCCAGCCAGCCACUGAUAUUGUAGUCCACAGUACCAGCAUAGUGGACCAGAGAGAAGUGAGCUUCAGCCUUUCCCUUGGCAGGCUUGGGCUUCUCAAAGUUCUUGCACUUGCCAAGAUGCUGUUCAUACAGUUUGUUCUUGAAGGAUGUGUCAGUGGCUUUGGGGAACAUGCACUCCUCUUCAAGGAUUGAGAAGAUGCCCAUGGGCUGAAAAUGUACAUAUCAGUGAGAAUUUCAUACAUCUUAACCUGUGUUUCCACAGCACAACUUCCCUGGAUUCAUUUUUGGAACCCACCUUCUCAAUGAGUUCAAUGCAGGCAGCCAGAUCCAUACCAAAGUCAAUGAACUCCCAAUCAAUGCCUUCCUUUUUGUAUUCUUCCUGUUCCAGGACGAACAUGUGGUGGUUGAAAAACUGCUGCAGCUUUUCAUUGGUGAAGUUGAUGCAGAGCUGCUCCAAGCUGUUGAACUGUAGACGACAUAAUUGUUGAAUAAAAUGUACUUGGGUUUUAAGUUAUAAAAAUAUAUUUGACAAAGUUUGAAAUAAAUGUUCACUUACAUCAAAGAUUUCAAAACCAGCGAUAUCCAGCACACCAAUGAAGUACUGUCUUGGCUGCUUAGUGUCCAACUGUUGGUUGAUACGUAUGACCAUCCACAAGAACAGCUUUUCAUACACUGACUUGCACAGGGCACCAACUGCGUUGUUACACUGAAUGGAACAGACAUAGCGUGAGCCUCUGCACAGAACUGCAGACACCUGAACAAUAAUCAACUGAACACUGGAAACAUAAUUACCUGUGCGACAGUCUGUCCUUUGGUGACAUAUUCAUUGCCGACCUUUACUCUUGGGUAGCACAGAGCUUUCAGCAUAUCGGCAGAGUUCAAACCCAUCAAAUAUGCAAUUUUAUCAGCAACUACAAGUUCAAAAUAAAAUAAUUGUAUACAUAUAUUGGAAACCAGUUUCAUCUAUGUUAAGCAGAGAUUAGGUUUCUAAUUUAUAUCCGUAGCAGUUGUACUGAGAUUUUUUUCAUUGAACACUAAAGACAAACCUUCAGUGCCGUCAGGCUCGGCCUGCUCCUCUCUCUGCUUUUGCUUGAACUUCAGGUUGCCAUGGUGCAUGACAGCUCCUGUAAGUUUGUAGAUACCAAUCUUUUCUUCUGCGGUGAAACCCAGGACAUCAAUGGCACUCUGUAGGAUGAGAAAGGACGUUUGAAAUUAAAAACCGGCAUUCAGAACAGAGUUACAAUGUUGUUGCUCUAACAACUUCAGAACUUACAUCAGUAGCCAUCAAUUCAUCUUCAUCAUUAAUACUCUUCACAACAAUCUCACCCUGGCUGAUGGAAGGAAAGUCGUAUGGGUUGGUUGUGAUCAGAAGUGUUUCUAAAGAAAAAGACGUGUUGCACAUGUGUAAAAAUAAAACAUUACACAUGCAAUCUCUACAACAUUGUAAGUAGGUCUUAACUGUCUCAGUUAUAUUCUGUCUGUCUAUAAUUAUGGAACCAAAUCAGAACCUGGUUAUUUGUUCAUUGGAGAAUAAAAAAAUGUUGUUCAAUUACCAACAAGUUCUGGUUUCUUGUUUGUCAUGAUCUGAUAGAAGAUAUGGUAGCUUCUUUCAGCAGACAGCUGGAAGGUAACUCUGGAUUUCUCUAGCAAAUCUGUUCAAAUAAAAGCCAAUAUAAGAAAUAUGAUAUAUCCCAUUUAUAAAUAAAGAUAAAUUAAUUUGCAAUAUAUUCCUUACAUGUUUCAAUAUCAGCUGAGGACAGUUUUCCGGUGGUGCCGAAGUGAAUUCUGAUGAAUUUACCCUAAAUACCACAGUGAGAGUUUAGUACGCUUGGUUAACAAAUGGGGAAACAUAUAGAUGGUAACAUGAAAAUAUCUAUUGCCCAACAAAAACUUACAAAACGAGAGGAGUUGUCAUUUCUCACGGUCUUGGCAUUACCGAAAGCUUCCAGCAGAGGGUUAGCCUCAAUGAUUUGAUCUUCCAGAGUACCCUGUCAUACAGGAGUAAAACUUGUUAAUUUGGUGAAAUUUGUAUUUGCACAUUUAUAUCUUAUCCUACACAUGGAGAUAGAAACAUUGCAUUAUGCAUAGAUGUACUAAAUCUACAGUAAAAAUGUUCUGCAUCUUGUUCUGGAUCAGCAGAAUAUUUGUUAAUGAAGAUGUGGAGGGGUUUGGUAUCUGUUUUCAACCUAGUUAACAACAUAUGAAUAGAAGUCAAGUAAGUGACUUCUCAGUAGCAUGACACCAGUGGACAGAGAGUAAUGUAUAGCAGAUUAGAUAUGCUUUGAUUAUUUUGGUUCUUUAACUAUGUAUUAAUAAUCCCAAUAGCUGUAUUACCUUCAAGCUGUUAGCUGGCUCCUUUUGUUUGCCUUUCUCUCCAAUAGCCGCAAUUGUUGCAAAAUACUGGAUGACACGUUUUGUGUUCACAGUCUUUCCGGCACCAGAUUCUCCACUAUGGAUAAAGAAGAUUAAAAUAUAGAACGUCUAGAAAAGCUGAAGAAAUGACUAGAACUUGAAAGAUACAAUGACAAUAUACUGACAAAGUACUUACGUAAUCAGGACAGACUGAUUGACACGAUCUGCAAACAGGAGAUGUGGAUUAAUAGAACAUUCAUAGUAUUACGUGUUGAUAAAUUAAGACUGUUAACAUGAAGAAAAGGUCAGAUACCUGUCAACAUGGACUGAUAAGCGUUAUCAGAGAUGGAGAAGAUGUGUGGUGGGGCUUCCAUACGUUUCUUCCCUCUGUAACCAGCAACCACCUCAGGGUUGUACACUGGGAGCCACUUGUAGGGAUUCACAGUGACGCAGAAAAGGCCACUGUAGGUCUAAACGGCCAACAAAACAAAUAUUAAUUUAUAUAUAAGAGGACUACUUUUAGCAUCUUUUCACAAUAAAGCAUCCGUAAAUAUUUUACUGUCAAGCUGAUAAUUUAUUUUAAUAUAUUGUAAGGGGAACUGAGUAAAUCUAGGAGGCCCAUUUCUAACUCCAGGCAUGGAUUUUACUAUACAAAAGAAAUGACAUAUACAUUAGCAUUUUUAAUUUAAAUGUUGUAAAGUUGUAUCAUUGUGAUAUACCUAUGUCACUCUUGUUUCAUUAUUUCCAUUAAAUAGUUUAAGUGGGGGGCACACUAUCUACUUAAACUGUUUAUAUGGAGAAAGAGACCAAACUUACGUAGAUCAUCCAUGCUGCGUAACGUUCUUUGAGGUUAUACAACACAGAGGCUUCAUUCAAAUGGGUCAUCAUGGCCAUAUCUUCAAUUUUGUCAUACUUGGGGGGAUUUUGAGGGUAAACUUGGCUGUCUUUAACAGUUACAGUCUAGAAGAAAGAGAGGCAUAUCUCAGUUAAGGUCUCAAUUCACAGUAAUUAACAGCUGGUAUGAUAAGUAAUAGAAUUUUAUAUUUACCCUUCCAUCAUCAGUUUUCACUGUGAUUUUGCCAUCUUCACGAGCUGUGACUAGACCUUUCACGUACAGCUCUUUUUGGUCAUCUACGAAGCAGGUGUUCUUGGCAUCGAAUGGCCUAUUCUGGGCUUCCAAUCGUUCUUUGUCAGAUUUACGGAGAAACUGGGCAGCCUCUCCGAAACAGGCCAUCUCCCCGUCACCCAUGAUUGCUGGUGUCUACAAAAUACACAUAUCUUAAAUUAAACUCUACUUUACCCGGACGUACAAACAAAUGUUAAAGUAUUAAAUUUUCCCUCCUCAGCAGUAUUGAUUUCCACACUUCCAAAGUUGAACCGUUUAUUUAGCAUAGAUGCACUCCCUUUAAGAAAACCGGUGAAAUCUUCCUAAUUCUUACAAGAAAUAAUUCUUAAAUCUUGGGCACACACACAUAGGCAUUUGAGCUAGGAGCCAUGUGAAAUAAAUAUAGCUAUUUCCUGAAAUACAUUAUUGCUACAAAGAAAAAUUUAUUACAGAGAAAGAUGAUUCAAAUGUUGAAGGAUCUAGGGUCUACUUUCAGCAAAGCCGUGACUUCCUGGCCCCAAAAAAAAAGUGAAUUCACCACCAAGUUAUGCAUUAAGAGGAAAAAAAAAUUCUCCCACCCACCUGUUAAGGCUUAAAUGUUGCAAACUGUUUCACAAGUCCCUUUUAGUUAAUAAAUGGGCGAGUAUUCACUCCCCUACACUGUUUGUUCUACUUUUGUUGUUUAACUUGAUGAUAGUGGGCUUAACACUAAAUUCUAAACUAAAAGUCCCGUAAAUUUAAAAGAAGAUUGCAAAAUUGAGACCUAAUAAUUUGAUUUAGAAAAAUUCUCAAUUUUGGCUUGGCUAUAUAACCCCUAAAGUGUGGAAUUUGUAUUUCAGUUUGUAAAGUAUACAGAGUAUUUCAAAUAUUGUAAUGUGACCCCUAUGGUGUCAGAACAUUUUGCAAAAUUUCCGUAUGAAUUACCCUAGGUAGCUUUUUAAGAUAAGAGAAUAUGAAUCUCUAAAAAAAAAAAAACCCAAAAAACAUGAGUUGAUUUCCCUGAGUCCUAAACAGUGAUGGAUCGCCACCUAGAGGGCUUGUGGUAAAGCACUGUAGAGUGAAAUAAUUAAUUUGUGUUUUAAUUUAUGGAGCCUAAUUUUAACUUGAAAAUUACAAAUUAAGAUUUCAUUUUCAAAGAAUACACCUUACUUUUUAAUUUUAAAUAAUGUGCAGUUAAUCCAGUUAAGUUUUUGCCUUUCUUGGUUAUGUUAAUAUUUUAAGUUAAAACCGUUAUUGUGAAAAAACAAACAAAAAAAACUUGUAUAAAAAGUGGGUCCAUAGGCUCAUGGGGCUUAUACACGAAACAGUUAAAUGCAGCAUAAUGAGUUCCAGAACUUGGGUGCCAAAGCAGCAUUGUUUUAAUCAGUCUGAAGCCCCACUGAAAUGAACUCCUCCCUCCCCCUGCCAGUUACAUUAUUUUUGCUAAUUAGUUGACUCUGUGUUAACUGGAUUAUAUUAAAUUUCCUAUUACUGAUUAUUGGUUGCUCCUUUAGCUGAGGGAUUUAAAAUAGAGUAAUGUUUAAUAUUUACCUAUAUAAUAAAUAUACUCCAUAAUAAAAAAUAUUAUAGGGAGUGACACUCACAUCAUUUCAUUGGGCAUAAACUGAAAUACAAUAUUAAAAGGACUUUACAAGUAAAAUAUAUUAAAUAUAAACAUUCUCUGUUCAUACUAUAUCAAAUGAAACCUUAACUAUUAAGCAAUGAUUCCAUAUAUUUGGACUGUAAGCUUGCUUGAGCAGAGUCCUCUUCAACCUAUCGUUCCUGUAAGUUGUCUUGCAAUUGUCCUAUUUAUAGUUAAAUCUCCCCCUCUUAUAAUAAUGUAUAGCGCUACGAAAUCUGUUGGCGCUAUAUAAAUGGCGAUAAUAACAAUAAUGUUUCAAGGCACUAAAUUAUUUAUAUAUGUAUUUAUAUAUUUAUAUAGCAUAAUUAUCCUAAUUUAGCCCCUUUUUUUACAAUGCUAAGCUUUGUAGAACUUACGUUUUAUUUCAGAUUUUGACAGGGGGGGGGAAUAAAACAGUUGGAACCUGGAAUUGAAAAAAAAAAGAAAAGGAUAAUGAUUACAAUUUAAGACAUGGAAGAUAUUUCAAUAAAUACCAAUUAAGUGCACCCCCAAUCCACCCUUCUCACAACCAAAGCCUAUCCAGUUCUCCAUCCCUUACUUUAAGGACUUUUAUCCAAGCCGCCCCAUGCUUCUAGAACUCCUAAUCAAAUUAAUUCUCACUUUAUAUUUACAUCUUUUCAUCUUUAACCUCUCCCUUAAGAGGCAUCUAACUAUGAACGUAAAAGUCAUCCCUCAACCCAACACUAAAGGCUCCACAAUAAAUACAAUCUAGCUUUGACUUCUUCAUUUUUAUUAAUGUAUUGCUCCCUUUAGUCAAUAUAUCAAGCUUUGCAGACGAUUUCUAGUGAUACAUAAAUUAAUUACAAUAAGUUAUAUGGUAAACUACACAUGACUUAACUCAAUGUCCAUAAGAUAUUUAUUUUGUCACUCUAUGUCCAAUGUAUCUUUUAGAAGCUACAAAUUCUCCCCCAAGCAACCCACAACUUUGCUUACCUACAAGGAAGACCUAACCAACUGGCAACUCUCAUUAAAGCUUAUAUAGGACACUAACUGCCCUCUCAGCUCAAUCUACUUAAAGGCAUGGGCGUUUCCAUUGCCUUAACUGUGCAUGUAAGCCAAAAGCUAUCCAUUCGUCAGAUGUAAAAAUAACUCACAAUUCAGUCUGGAAAUAACCCAGGAUAAAGCAUGUUACUACAAUUUGCAAUCAAUACCAAAGACUAGGGUUGUCUUUCACUCUGAGACACGGUCAUAUAACUCCAAAUCGAAGAACUAAACUGUGGAAGUAACACUAUGCCAUGUUUAAUAAACACAUGUUAAGUGUUUAUUAAAUACAAUUACCACCUAUCAUAAAUCUGAACUACAUCUACUCACUAAAACACAACUCAACCUAGCUAUUCUAUGAGACACAGAUAAACAAAUGUCAAUGGUAAUAAAAUUUAGACAGAAAUUUAACAAAUAGAAUUGGGCAUUUGGAAGAUCUUUGGACUAAUGCAUUAAUGUUUUUUUCUCAUGGGUUUUAUAAACAGAUCUUAGCAAUACAGAUAUAAUAAAAAAAAAAUUAGGAUGAUUAUGAAAUUGUAUAAAUAAUUUUUUUUUUUUAAACAAAAAUUUUUUAUUCAGUUGUUUGUUUUUGAAAAAUUUAAACAGGGAAAAAAAAAGCCAUAAAUAUAUUAAACUAUAAAAAUAGCCCAGGGGUACCACAAUAAAUUAAUAUUAAUAUUCUCCUGUGCUAUUUGCACUAUACAGGCAAAUGCAUUUUCCAUGCUUUUAUUACUAAUAAUUUACUUUAUUUAUUUUAGAAAUGCAUUUGCGGUUUAGCUAGUGGUGAGUAAUAUUUUAAUAUUUCUAAUAUUUCUUUAAUAAUAGUUAUAUUUUUAUAGUUGUAUUAUAUUAAUAUUGUUACUUUUUUCCGUGUUAUGACUAAUUUUUUUGUCUUCUGUGCCGAAUAGCUAGUAUUUAAUAAUGAUAAUUAUUUUCUCAGCAGCCUUCAGUUUUGUUUUAAUUGUGUGUAGCUGCAUUAAGAGCAUGCCAUAUAUUAUUAUUUACAGCCCAGAAUUCUCAGAAAAUUAUAUUUAUGUGCAGUCCAGAAUUUAAAAAAAAAACUAUAUAUAUUUAUAUACACACACACACACACACACGUGUGUGUGUACAUAUAUAUAUAUAUAUAUAUAUAUAUAUAUACACACUAUUUUCUUCCUUUUUUGUGUGUGUGAAAAUUAACAUUUAUUCAAACCACCGACUAUGGCAACAAACUAAUCUGUGAAAAAAUAAGAGAUAACCUUUUCAAAUUUAAUAAAAUAUGGCAUAUUGUUCUAUAUAAUUAAUCUAGUUUAGAAUGGAAUUAUUUAUUUUUUGCUUCAAGUUUAGGGCUAGAAAUUUUAAGACGAAAGCUCCUUUGCCAGUAUAUCAGAACAAAACCUAUUAAUAUUAUAGUACAACAAAGAACUAUCUAUUUACUGUGCACUUCCUUCUCGACAAAAUUAAGUAGACACAGAAAGCAGAACGUAAAAAAAAAGAUUCAUUGCCGUAUACGUUGCUGGGUGAGUGUCGGGGACAACUGGGAUUUUUGUUUUGUAACACUCCCCCACUGGACUGGAUAUGAACCCUGAGUACAAUUUACCAGAAUGCAAUGUUUCAUAACUGAUUAAAAGUUCAUCAAUAACUGUUGUAUGAAAAGAAACAUACCAAGACAAAUUCAAGAAUAUUUUUUAACUUCUAUAUAUUUUGUUUUUUUCUUUGAUAAAAAAAGUUGAACUUAAUUUGAAGGUUUACAUUUCUUUAAAGGUUACGGUAACACCACCCUGCAUUGUAUUGUUCUAAAACCAAUCCUCUGUGGAAUUGAUACACUUUAAUGCUGGUUACACCACUUUAUUUUAUGUGUCUAGGAAAUUGGUUGAUAGAUUUUAAAUUUUUUUAUUUUUUUUUAAAUAGAUGUUUAAAAAUGUAGCGAUCAUCAUGAUGGGUCUGACUGCAAAGUCUUGUUGAAGACAGAAUCUCUCCUCUGUUCAGUUCAGUAGAAACAGUGUGUUCUUUUUUUUUUCUUAAUAUUUUUGGACAAUUAUGUGUUUGUACAAUUCUGCUAUCACAAAGUAAUCGUCCUGUGUUCAUGCAUCUUGUUCGCAGUUUUUGAACCAGACCAGACAAGCGCUUGAGAUGAAGGUUGAGACACUGAAUUCUGGUGGUGCUGGAGUGAUGAGACCAGUUAUGCAGACGCCUGUCGGUUCACAAGAUAGUGAAGUUCUUUCUUAUUUUAACAACGUUUUGUGUGUAAAACAGUCUCUAUUUGCAGGUCACUGUAUCUAAAGCAGCUCUGUCACUUAUCCAAUUUGUUCCGUAAUAAUGAAAUCUGAUGACCCCAUACAGACUGCAUUAUGGGGAAACCUUAUUUUUGAGAACAUGUGGGAAUUGGUGUUAUUUCUUGCUAAUCAACCCGUCUUGAACAGCAGGGAUUUCUUAACGCUUAGAUGGUCGCCCAGAAGUGACUACAAUCAGUACUGAGCUUCCUAUCUGGAAGGAGCACAGCAGCUUUGGGGUACAUCACAGGUUUGGGGGUUACUGCCUAGAAUGUUCUUUGUGGAUUUUCUGACAUUUGAGAGCUCAGAGGCUGACAGGUAAAAUGUCUGCCCUGAAUUGCAUACCUGACCCCAGAGGGGAUGAAAAGCAGCAAUUGGGAAACUUUCUGAGCUGAAUUUGAACAUUAUUCCCUGGCUAUAGGGUCGAAGGAGAAAUCUGCAGCAGGGCAGGCAGACACUCUGAGAAGCGACAUGGGCAGUGAAUGUUACUAUGUUUCUAAACACAAUCUGAAUCUCACAGCAGAGCAUAAGGAGAAUGUAGCUCACGGGGCAAGACGACCAGAAUGAGCGUUAACAGGGGGCUGAUUAGGGCUAAGCCGUUUAGAUGUUAGUCUAUGCGUAAAGGGAGGAGUCAUUGGGCAGUGGUAGUGGUCAGUUUGGAGGGGUCAGUGGCCAUUUUAGCUUUAGAUAAUUAACUGUGUUGUAUUUUUAAUUUACUACAUAAGUUUAGCCCGAUCGUCAAAGGUACAGCUGUCGUUUAGCAAAUGUUUGUAGACACAUUGGAAUUUUACUUCAAAUCUGCUAAAAAUGUCAUAUGUGAAAGGUAUGUGUUUGGAUGCUGGAAACGGGAAGAGGGAGAAUCUCUUGAUAAAUUUGUUACACGCUUGAGCGAAAAAGCUGCAAAAUGUGAAUAUGGUUCUCUGAGGGAUGAACUAAUAAGGGACCAUAUUGUUCCUGGUGUAGCUAGUAAGAGCUCACGCAGGCAUCUCUUAAGAUAACAUGAAUUAACUUUAAACACAGCCAUUGAAAUGUGCCGUACAGCAGAGCACACUGACAGAUGUAUGGAAGUUAUGGAACAGGACAGACAGCAGACCGACAGCAUCAACAUUGCAGUGCAGUGACAACACAUUAGCAAACAGCAACAACACUGCCAGAUUAGCACAAAUCCUGCAGACCAUACAGCGUGCAAAGAUUGUGGGACUGUGCAUCAAAGAAUUAAAGAGCAGCGUCCUGCUUAUGGGAAGUCUUGUGGGGGGACAAAUCAUUUUGCUAACGUAUGUUUGUCAAGUAAAAGACAGCCAUCAAUUGGAACGUUACACUCCCUGGGGAACACAUCUGCAUACGAGGAAGAGCCCCACACUGCUGAAGUGAUAUACAGCAGUGACUUGAUCUGCUCUGUGCGGCCAGAGGAAAGAAAUGGUUUGUCACUUUAACUUUAAAGGGAAACUAUAGGCUAGGAAUUCAAAAUUGAAUUCCUAGCACUAUAGCUCUCUAUAGUGUCCCCUCGCUUGCGCUACUCCGACUGCAGCGCAGGCCCCUUCUAUCACUUACUUGAAUCCAAUGUCUCUCGGCGCUGGGUCAGGCUCUGCCUUGGCUCCUCCUUCCCCAACGCUGGCCGACGUCAGGGACCUAACGGGCAUGCACGGCGAGCGCCGCAAGCAGAUUUAAACAGCCCCAUGGGAAAGCAAUGUAUAAGCUAGACCUUGGGGUUUAUUUGCCACUGCAGGACUGGAUGAUCUGUGGCAUAUUCACCAGAAAUGAAUUUCUCCUUGUUAGGGCUAAAUAUUCACUCGCUAGGGACGAGUGGAAAUUUUUUGCCUUCACAGUGAUAUUAUUACUGUAUGAGUCCUCUUUCACUAUUUAUAAUCUGUAUUAACUCACAGGAUCCUACAUUUAUUUGUUUUCGCAGGACCUCUGUGAGUACAACCUUGUGAGUUCUGUUCGGCCUGUCACACUGGAAUGUUAGACUAUAUGUUUUGGUUCUACUGCUCACAUCUCUGCAGAUGAGACAAGAGGGUCACUAAUGGACCCUGAAAAUGCUUCUGCCGUCUUUGGUAAGUCCUAUAUCAUUUACUGAUAAGUAGUUCAUCAUAUGUGUGCACAGGAUCUGAUAUUAUUUAACCCCUUCCUGACGUGGACGUACCAGGUAAAUAGGAGCCCUGGACCGGUGAUGUGUGGCGGUCGGGGUCGGGGGAGGGGGGGGGUUGGGGACUGAAAUCUUCUUCCUGCGACCUCUUGGUUUCUGCAGGGAAUAAGUUUAUUGGCAUUUUUUUCUCUUGCUACCCCUAGGGUCACAGCAAGUAAACCCCCAGUCAGUAAGGGGGUACCUUCGGGGGGACACUUUUGCGCAGGGCUGUGUACUGAAGCUUCCCAAGGAAGACAGGCUGAACUCCCUUGGGGACAGAAGGUAAAGACCCUCAGGUAAGCCAAAAAGCAAAUUCCUCUAGUCCUGAAAUAGACUAAGUUUGUCUUAUAGGGAUAGGACAGGAACACAAACACUGAGGUAGGAGGGGGUAUUUGUACAUUUCUUUUUAAUAGUUCCUGUCUAAUUAGGGAUAGGGAUGAGCAACUCAUUGUUGGCUGCCAUGGAUAUGGCCUAUAUAUAUAUAUAUACACACACUCACUCACUCUUAUUUAUAUAUAUAAAUAAAACACACACAUUCUACAUUUGUAUUUAACUAUUAACUACAUAAUUAUUUGAUUUUAUUAAUUAAAGUUUGAGAGACCUGCCAGACAGUUUAAUUGGCAAGCCCCAUAUUUAACCCCGUAACUUUCAAAAACACCAUAAAACCUUUACAUGGAGGGUAUUGUUAUACUUGGGAGACUUCACUGAACACAAAUAUGAGUGUUUGUUUUAAAAAGUAAAACUUACUACAAUGAUUAUAUCACCAGUAAAAGUGCAGUGUUUUGUUUAAAAAACAAAAAACAAAACGCUAAAUUUGCUCAGCGUUUGUGACUAAGUGCCUACUACAAAAGACUGGAAAUGCCCCAUUUUGAAUACCCUGGGUUGUCUACAUUUGACAAUGGUAUGCCAUGAUGAGGUUAAUUCACAUUCCUGAGCUACCAUAUGGUCUUAAAAGGCUACAUAGACCCAGCAAACCAAUCUGGCAAACUGAAUUGGGCAAGCCGUAUAUUGACCCUGUAACUUUUCAAAACACCAUAAAACCUGUGCAUGGGGGUAUUGUUAUACUCGGGAGACUUUGCUGAACACAAAUAUGAGUGUUUUAAAAAGUAAAACUUAUCAUGACAAUGAUAUGACCAGUAAAACUGCAGUUUUUGUUUUAAAAAAUGCAAAAAACAAAUAAAAAAUGCUAACUGUGGCCACCGUUUGUGACUAAGUGGCUACUACAAAAGAAUACCCUGGGUUGUCAACAUUUGAAAAUGGUAUGCCACGGUGGGGUUAAUUUUCAUUUCUGGGCUGCCAUACUGUCUCAAAGGGAACAUAGCCAAUCUGGCAAAUAGCAAUUUGCAAAACUUGAAAUUGGCAAGUCUUAUGUUUGACCCGGUAACUUUCCAAAUCAAAAUAAAACCUGUACUUGAGGGGUACUGUUGUACUCGGGAGACUUCGCUGAACACAAAUAUGAGUGUUUUAGAGCAGUAAAAUGUAUUAUACUGAUAAUACCAUCGGUGAAAUGGGAGCUUAUGUGUGAAAAACAAAAUACCUAAAUGCUAAUUUUGGCCAUGGUUUGUAACUAAGUGGCUACUAAAAUGACUGGACAUACCACAUUUUGAAUACCAUGGGUUGUCUACUUUUACAAAUGGUAUGCCAUGAUGGAGUUAAUUUCGAUUCCUGGGCUGCCAUACGGUCUCAAAGGCAACAUAGUCCCUGCAAACUAAUCUGGCAAAUUUCAAUGUGCAAACAUGGAAAAGAGGAAAGCCCUACGUUUGACCCCUGUACGUUUGCAAAAACCCAUAAAACCUGUAUAUUGGGGGCAUUGUUGUACUCAGGAGAUGUUGCUGAACACAUAUUGGAGUGUUCUUUGUCAGUAACACAUAACAGGAGCUGAGAAUCCAUGCCUAAAGUACAAUGUGAGAGAAAAAUAACUCAAAAAAUGACUACCCAAAAGUUUGACAAAGACUGGUGGUAGAAUUAGUGCAUCGAAAGUGUUAAAAUUCCACAAUUUGAAAUACCCUAGGGUGUCUACUUUUCAAAAAUAUAUGGUUUCAUAGGGGUAAAUUACAUUGGCCGGCUUACAAAAUGUCCCAAAUAGGACAUGGGUGCACGAUGACCAGCUGUGAAAAUUCCAAGUUGGAAAACUGGAAUGCGCACCCUGAAAUAAGGUAUUUUAGCCCCCAGAGAACCGGACAUACCUAUACAUGGGUGGUAUCACGGUACUCAGGAGAUGUCACUGAACACAUAUUGGGGUGUUCUUUGGCAGUAACCCUUAAAGUUCUCAGUACACGUAUUCUUAAAUUGCUAUGUGUAUCAAAAACAUCACCAAUUAUUAUUAUUUUUUUUAAAUUUGGCAUAGAUUGGUGGUAAAAUGGUUUUAUGAAAAGAAUUAAAAUAUCCCAAGUUUUAUAUCAUAGGUUGUCUUCAUUAAAAAAAUAUAUACAUGUGAAGGGUUAUUCAGGGAUUCCUGACAGAUAUCAGUGUUACAAUGCAACCAUCGUUAAUUUUGGAAGAAAAUGGUUUGGAAAUAGCAAAGUGCUAUUUGUACUUAUAGCCCUAUAACUUUCCAAAAACGGCUAAGAACAUGUUAACGUUGGGUAUUUGUAAAAUCAGGACAAAAUUUAGAAACUAUUUAGCACAGGUGUUUUUGGCGGUUGUAGAUGCGUAACAGAUUUUGGGGGUCAAAGUUAGUAAAGGUGUUUUUUUUGUUUUUUUUUUAAUCAUAUUUUAUAAUUUUUUUCAUAGUAAAUUAUAUGAUAUGAAAAUAAUGGUAUCUUUAGAAAGACCAUUUAAUGGCGAGAAAAACCGUAUAUAAUAUGUGUGAGUACAGUAAAUGAGUAAGAGGAAAAUUACAGCUAAAUACAAACACAGCAGAAAUGUAAAAACAGCCCUGGUCCUUAACGGUAAGGAAAUUGAAAAACGGUCUGGUCACUAAGGGGUUAAAGGAAAGUGACAUUUUACCAGUAGUACCUGUUUUAAUUUUUGUCGUAUUGUUUUGGAAUUUACUAAUUUAUCCUGCUAGCUAUAUAGUGUUCUAGCUUUUAUUAUAUUUAUUAUUGGUAUUUAUAUAGCGCCAAUACAUUUACAAUACUAAAUUAUUGCAAUGUUAUUGUAUAGUUCCGUUUUCCUGUAGCAACAAGUCAGUAUCUUGGACCCUGAGAAAAGUUUUAAUUCAAGCAGACCUCAUUUUUUCGAGGGACAUUAUGUUCCAGCCUCUGAAACUGUAGAAUUAACAGUUUCACUGCUGCUGUAGGCAGGGCCGGCGCGCCCAAGCGUCCGAUUUGGGGAGCCAGAGUAGGGGGCGCAAAAAUCUGAAUCCCUUGCUUCUGGCUAGGGACUUGAACUUUUCCAAUCACUGCAGGCUACCUCACUCUCUAAUCCCUGAAGACCCAGCAAACAGCCAGUCUGGGUACCUCCUUCAUUGACCGGGAGUCUGAACCAACUCUGAAAGCGGACUAGUGCUUACGUGAGGCCAAGCUGGGGCUAGGCCUAAUUUAUAUUAAAGACUAGUAUAAGCACCUGAGUUUCUGUUUUUCCACUUGCUCUCAGUUGCUUACAUUAGGCUUCCUUCUAACAAGUAGACCACAUUUAGGAGGUUGGUGGUGAGCAUUUUUAUGGAUGACUGAUUUGAAGUACACACUUGUAUUUUAUGUGUUUAAAAGCUUGACUCUAAGUCCACAGACACGUUCUAUCAAUGCAUGUGGCAUUGAUUACUGUUACCUGUGUAUUUUAGCUUAUUUAAAUCGGCAUAUAAAACCUAGGUAGCCUCUCUGUAUGAUUUGGCGUGAAGACACAGCCUCGGUAUAUGUUACUGAUAUUAUCUCUGUAUAUGAGCUGGUGUGAAGUACAGCAUUAAUGGGUGUCCAUUAUAUGCUCUAUGUAUGAGGACACAACCUCAGUAUGUGUGUCCACUAUAUGCUCCAAGUAUGAGUUGGUGUGAAGCACAGCUUCAGUAUAUGUGUCCACUAUAUGCACCAUGAGUUACUGUAAGGACACAGCCUCUUAAUACACUUGUGUUCAAAGGUUUGCGUACCCUGGCAGAAAUUGUGAAAUGUUGGAAUUUAUUUUGAAAAUGGACUAAUCAUGCAAAAAAAAGGUAUUUUAUUAAAGGAUAGUGAUCAUAUGAAGCCAUUUAUUAUCACAUAGUUGUUUGGCUCCUUUUUAAAUCAUAAUCAUAAAAGAAAUCACCUGUUCCAAAAGUAACCUUGCCACUGGUAUUUGGAAGGGCCUGUUUGCCAGCCUCCUACCCUAUGACUAUGGCCCCUGUAUUAAAUCCUGAUUAAAACCACUGUGUGUGCCUUUUUGGACUUGCAUGACAACACUUUUCGAACUUUCGAAGCGGCACUUCGAAUUACCUAACAACCACAUGAACCAGAGACCACCCUGGAGCUUGUUAACAUCUAUUAACAACUUGGAACGUUUCUCACCGCAGUGUUCUAAUUGUUCGUCUGGGUGGCCGUAAUUCCUAUGGACAACCACGAGGUGGCGGCCAUCUUGUUCGCAUGAACGCAGGCAGCGGAGUUUGGGCAAGAAUCUCAUGGAACUAAAAUCAGAUACAGAAGCUCCCAAACACCGCUGGACUUCCAUCAUCGCUUGCGUUCGAUUCUAUUCAACUUAGAAAGGAACUGUUUGGUGAGAUGAGGGGAACAAGCUCCAAGGUAAGACUAUUGACUCUGUUCGUUAGUUUGUUCAUUUUCAAACUACCGAACUAGACCGUCCGCAAGCCCUGAUUCUCUGGAACUGUUUUGGGCAUGGGACCAUGCCUGCGGUCGGUCGAAUUAGUGACUUCCAUAGAAUACCUGAACCCCUGAACUAAUCUGGGUGAUUUUUGGAUAUGUUGGUCACCCAGAUCAGAGCUAUCAGGGGAUGUAACAUUUGUGGGGAUAUUAUGUGUUUCGGGGUACUUUUGGGACUUUAUAGAAAUGUGUGUUUUUUCUGCCUUGAGAUAAUUGGGUUAAUACAGUAUCUGACUUAAUUAUCUCCCAAACACAGGGGAGGGAUUGUAUGCUAUGUUUGGGAGUGUCAUGCAUUUGAAUACUGUUCUUAUUGGUCUGUAACUUUUGUAACUCAGUCCCCCACAAGGUCCGUGUGGGUGUACCCCUCGCGUGGGCAUUGUCAUAUAAGGCCAAGUGUGUCACCAUUAACCUAUUAAGGACCAAACUUCUGGAAUAAAAGGGAAUCCUGACAUGUCACACAUGUCAUGUGUCCUUAAGGGGUUAAAAUCAGUUCCUCUUCACCCUUAACAAAGAUCCUUGUCUCAUGUGUGGAGAGGACAACUAUAUUCACUCUGGGGAUUGCCAUACUCAUUAUACUACCCUGGGUUCUAAUCACUAACUCUUAUAAGAGCUGUUCCUGUUAUACUCUCUGGAGUAGGAGAGGUUCACCCACUGGAAGCUGGAUCCUGGUCUUGAGUCCAGGGGGGUGGAGGACAGCGAGACCCUAACCAAGCUGUGGCGGUUUGUGGGGUCGACGGUGCUAAUGGUGUCUUGUGGAGUGCUUGGAGUCCUCGGUGAGCACUAGGAGCAUCGAUUGGCGGAGUUACCCAGUCGGGGUGCCAGGAGGUCCGUCACAUCACCCAACUAUCCAUGAUCAAAAGUGACCCUAAGCACAAGGCCAAGUUGACCCUCCAGUGGUUCCAGCAGAAAAAGGCAAAGGUUCUGUAGUGGCCAUCACAGUUUCCUGACCUUAAUAUCAUCGAGCCACUCUGGGGACAUCUCAGACAUGUGAUUCAUGCAUGACCUGGAGGCAUUUUGCCAAGACGAAUGGGCAGCUAUACCACCUGCAAGAAUUAUGGGCCUCGUAGACAACUAUUUCAAAAGACUGCAUGCUGUCAUUGAUGCUAAAGGGGACAUAUUAAGAACAAAGGCUAUGCAGACUUUUGAACAGGGGUAGUUUCAGUUUUUUCUUAGUUGUCAAGUUUUGUUUUAUGAUUGUGCCAUUCUGUUAUAACCUACAGUUGAAUAUAAAUUCCAUAAGAAAUAAAAGACAUGUGUUCUGCCUGCUCACUCAUGUUCUCUUUAAAUAUGGUACAUAUAUUACCAAUUCUCCAAGGGUAUGCAAUAUUUUGAGCACGACUGUGUGUCCACUAUAUGCUUUAUGUAUGAGUUACUAUGAGGACACUGGCUCAGUAUAUGUGUCCACUAAAUGCUCUAAGUAUGAGUUGGUCUGAAAACACAGACUCCGUAUAUGUGUCCUCUACAUGCGCUAGGUAUAAAUUGGUGUGAAGACACCACUUCAGUAUAUGUGUCCACCAUAUGCUCUAUGUAUUAGUGUGAAAACACAGACACAACCUCAAUGAGUCCAUUUAAUCUUUGUGUAUUAAUGUGGUGUGGACAUUUUAAGUAUAUACAGCAUGUUUAACACAAGCUCUGUGUAUGGGUUGCUGUUGGUGAUAUACCCCAUAUAUGAAGUACUGUAAAAACUCAGCCUCAAUAUAUCGGACUCAUAUAAUAUUAGUAUAUAAACUGUGGUUUCUCUACGCCAGUUUUCUAAAUUAUUAUUAUUAAUAUUGCCAUUUAUAUAGCGCCAACAGAUUCCAAAGCGCUUUACAAUAUUAAGAGAGGAGGGAUUUAACUAUAAAUAGGACAAUUACAAGAAAACUUACAGGAACAAUAGGUUGAAGAAGACCCUGCUCAAACGAGCUUACAGUCUAUAGUAGGCGGGGUAUAAAACACAUUAGGACAGGAAAUAGCAAUCAAAUAAGGUGGGAGUGAAGCAGAGCUGUAGGAGAGAGUAGAGUGCUGCCCUUUAGGAGAGAGUAAGAGACAGGUAUACAAGGUAGAGGUUACUCUGGGAGGCCAUAAGCUUUCCUAAAGAGAUGGGUUUUAAGGUACUUCUUAAACGAUGCAAGACUAGGGGAGAGUCUGAUGGGGGUAGGCAGGCUAUUCCAUAGGAAAGGAGCUGCCUUCGAGAAGUCCUGCAAGCGUGAGUUGGCUGUACAGGUGCAAGCAAUGGACAGGAGAAAGUCACGGGCAGAGCGGAGAGACCGAGAAGGGGCAUAUCUAUGGAUCUGUGACGAGAUAUAAGAGGGGCUGGAAUUACAAGCUCCUUGGUAACAUCUUGCGUAAGAAAGGGGCGGAUGUGGGCUAUGUUUUUAAGAUGGAAUCUACAGGAUUUGGUGAGACUCAAAGGUGAGGCCAGAAUCAAGUAUGACCCCAAUACAGCAUGCUUGCAAGGAUGGACUUAUGUGGAUACCACUAACUUGAAGGUAGAGCGAAAGAGGAGGAUCAGUAUAAGGAGGAGGAAAGACGAGGAGCUAAAUUUUAUAGAGAUUGAGUUUCAGAAAGCGGGAGGACAUUGUCAGGAUUGCUAGUUGAUCCAGCACGUAGAAUUGUGUCACACAGAUGACUAAUAGAUGUGAAUCAAUAUUAGCUGCUUGAGGUCAAUAGAAUUAAGGGGCCUCCUGAGUUGAGGGGGGGGGGUUAAGCUGUUAGGCUGUUGAGUAAGGGGGUACUUGAGAACAAACGUUAAGAGGUGGUGAUCAAAGAGAGGAAAUGGAGUGUUGCAGAUACUAGAUACUGUACAUGCAUAAGAGAAAAUGAGGUUGAGGGUAUUGCCAGCUAAAUCGGUGGGAGAAUUAGCCCACUGCAAUAGGGAGGAAGGGAGGGAGGAAGUAAUUGAAAGUAGUUUAGAGGCUGCUGUGGUCAAAAGUGGGUUAAUGGAAAUAAUGAAGUCUCCGAGAAUUAGGGAUGGAAUAUUAGAAGAGAGGAAGUAGGGUAGCCAGGCAGCAAAGUGAUCAAGGAAGAGGAGAGGGGAACCAGGGGGCAAUGUUAGCAGAGAAAGGUUUGAAAAGGUGAAUCGACUGAUAGGAAAGAGAGGAUAGGAGAAACUUGUUGCCUUUUGUUUUUGCAUUAGAUAUCUCCUCUCACACAUGUGUUUCAGGAUAAACAAUUAACCACUUUAAAGGGACUGCAAGUGUUACCACCCACUGAAGAGGAGUUCUGAUUUCCAAAAUAGAGGCUGGUAAUAUUUAAUAGCAGUUAAUAAUAUACAUGAGACAAGUUGCUACGAGAGUAUUUAUAUGGCCCAGUUCCAUCUCCUCGUUGAUGAGGUCAAUUGAAUGUUUUUACGUUUGAUAGAAGUUUGUUAUUGCUGAUUGCAGGUGCACAGAUUGGGCUUUUUAUUGGCUCCCAUGAGCAAUUAACUCUGAAGCAAUUACCCUUCUGUUUUCAUUGGUAUGCUUUACUUGUCAAAUGAAAUUUGACUUUGAUUUUGAUUUUAAAAGUUGUGAAUACAAGCUGUUUUUUUCACCAGGUCCCAAUGUUGUAAUCACUGCAGGAUUCUUUUCUGCAAAAUUAAUUUCUCGUCUAGUUUAAAAAAAAAUGUUUUACAUUUUUUUCGGUGUACUGGAGUUGGUUUAGAAUUACUUUAGAACGGAGUAAAUUUUCCUAAAGCAUAACCUGUGUAUUUGUGUCAAUGUUAUUUGUUACAUUCAGUAUUCUGCUAUAUAAUCCCUUGUGGACCUUGGAUUAGGCAACCCCUUUAAUGUUUGUCAGGGAUGGCAUGCUCUUGGCUCUUAAGGAUCAGAACUUUCCUCAGAUUCCCUGUUGUAGGUUUGUCAGAAGGAACAUUGAAGGCAAAGGGGAAAGAGAUGGAUGGAAAGGGGGAGGUUGGUAAGAGGGAGUGAUGUUGAUGGAUAGGGAGAGGUUGGCAAGGGGGAGAGAUAUGAGUGGAAAGGAGGAGGUUAGCAAAGGGCAGAUAUAUGGAUGGAAGGGGGAGGUUGGCAAGUGGAAGAUAUAUGAAUGGAAAGGGGAGGUUGCCAAGGGGUAGUGAUAUGGAUGGAAUGGGGAGGGUGGCAAUGGGCAGAGAUAUGGAUGGAAGGGGGGAGGUUGGCAAGUGGAAGAUAUAUGAAUGGAAGGGGGGAGGUUGGCAAGGGGGAGAGAUAUGGAUGGAAGAAAGACACAGGAAGGUUGACAUGGGGAGAGUUAUGGAUGGAAGAGAAACACUGGGAGAAUUAAGGAUGGAAGGGGAGAGGGAGACAUAGCUGGAAGAGAGACACAGGGGAGGUUGACAUGGAAGGAAGAGGGAGGUUGACAUGGAUGGAAGGGGGAGGGAGAAAUGAAUGGAACUGAGAUAUGGGGGAAGAUAUGGAUGGAAGGGAGACAUGGGGGAGAGACAUAUAUUUAAGGUGGGAGGGAGAUAUUGAUAAAAAAGGGAGACAUGGGGGGAGAGACAUGUGGAGAGAGAUUUGGAUAGAAGAUGAGAAACAUGUAUGGAUGUAAGGAACAGAGACAUGGACAGAAGGUGGGAAGAAUAUACAUGAAUGGGAGGGAGACAUGGGGGAGAGACAUGCAUGGAAAGGCAGAAGAAGACACAUGGAUGGAAGGGAAGGGAAGAAGAGACAUGGAUGGAAGGGAAGUGAAAAAGAGACAUGGUUGGAAGGUGGUAGAAGAGACAUGGAUGGAAGUGGGGUAGAAGUAAGCGGAGAGUGCAGUCACACCUUACCCUGCCUGGAUAUUGCAGAGGGACUAGGGACUAGGGUGCGAGCGGAAUUGAGCGGAUAAUUCAACUACACCUCAGGUAACGAAGUAAAGCUUUUGAGUAGAUGAAAUGUAUAUACCCAGGAUUAAAUAUUGUGUGAGAAUAAAACCAGUAAUUUUAGUUUGUGUUGCUCUAGAAUUCACCAACUUAUAUACAGGUCACAGAUGACCAGUUACAUGAUGCUAUCUACUUAUCAGUGGGUAUUACUAUCAUUCAAAGACAAACACAGUCCAACCAUACACAGCCAGCCCAAAAUCAUCACACAUAAGCAGUCCCCAUCACACAUUGACAGUACAUAAUUAUCACACACAUUCUCAUCAUACAGAGUGAGCCCAGUGCUCCACAGUUUCCAUCACAUAUACACAGCUCAAUAACAUCACAUACAAUCAAUUCCUAUCACACACAGACAACACAACACAAUACAUCACAUGCAGUCCCCAUUACAGUCAGACAGCCAAAUAUAUCACACACAAGCAGUAGCCAUUACACUCAGACAGCCCAAUACGCAGUCCCCAUUACACCCCAAUACAUCACAUGCAGUCCCCACUAUACUCAGACAGCCUGAGUUCAUCUGCCUCAACCAAGGUAUUUGAUAGCUAGAAAAAAAAAAAAGUUAGGUGACGCCAGUAAAGACUCCUGUUUGUAAUGUGCAGGGCCCGACUUCCCGCGGUGGGAUGCGGCCUUUAAAAAUUUGCCAAUGUUGUGAAAUGCAGCCGCAAGAGUGUGAGAGAGUACUCUCUCGACCAAUGUGACAUCGCCUUUGUUGCUGCUGGAAUGGUGCAUGGUGCAUGCAGGAGGCUGUUUGAAGUCCUUGUGCAAGUCCUGUGGGUGCAAUAUAAGUGCUGGGUUGGGUGCUUGGGGCAAGCUUUGUAAGUGCAAUCUCAGUGCUGGGUUAAGUCAUGGGAGCUAAGGCAAGUGCUGUGAGUUUAAUUUCUCUGCUGGGGUAAGUCCUGUGGGUGCAAUCUCAGUGUUGUGUAAGUCCCAGGUACUAGGGCAAGACCCAUGAGUGCAAUCUCAGUGCUGCGGUAAGUCAUGGGUGCUAGGGCAAGUCAUGUGAGCGUAAUCUCCUUGCUGGGGUAAAUGCUGGACUCCAGUCAGGUGAGUGCAAUCUGGUGAUGUGCCUGUAUUAUGCUUGCAAUAUGGAGACAAUUAUUCCUCAUCACCAUCAUCACACAAGUAUUAAUAUGUUUGUGUAAAUAUAUAUUUCUGAUUUGAGGCUGAUAGCUGCUUUAUUGGGAAAGCAUUGAAUAUGGAACUUUGCUAUUUCAUGUGUAGUAGCAAAUGGGAGGGUUUGUAAGAGUUCCCCGGAGGACUUUCGGUGACUGGCAGGACUCUGUUCCUAAGAAACCUCAGGAACUUUUAAUUCCUUUUUAUUAUUUUUUUUUAUGGGACAGGGAGGAUUAGUAAACAAAAUAUAAUGCUAUAACGCUACGUUUCUUUAGUUUCCCUUUACAUGGUAAAGAACUUACGAAGGACUCAUUCUAUGUGAAACAGCACCUUUAAAAAAUGUAAAAUGAGUCCCAUCAAGGCUCAUAUUUCUUCUGAAUGUGAUAAAGCAAGUUUAGCCUAAAUCUCAUUUGAGUAGGAUAAUAACUGUAUUUAUAUAACAUGUUCUCAUUUAUGCAGUGGCGUACUAAAGGGGAGUGGGGGGAGGCGGUCUGCCCCCAUGCCACAAGGUAGAGGGGUGCCACCAGAGCAGGCCUUAGGGAGGUGUGAGCUGUGUGGCUGCACAGGGUGCCAUGGCAGUAGGGGCACCGGGCAGCCGACACAGCUCACACGCAGGGGCCGACAGGAGAACUUCAUGGUUACUUGGGGGCGGGACCAAAUUGGAUGUGGGGCAGAGCUAAAGGCAGCCUCCAUUUUCUGCUAUUACUGCUGCAAACUGAGGGGAAGCAGUAAGCAUUUCCUGCUUUCCCAACUACAACACACUAGGGACUUCAGCCCAUACUAUUAGUAAGUGAGAGAGUGUGUGAGUUGUGUGUGUAACUGUGAUUGUGUCCGUCUGUCUGCCUGUGACUGUGUGUGUGACUGCAUCUGUGACUGUGUGUGAGACUGCCUGUCGCUGUGUGUGUAACUGUCUGUGACUGCAUCUGUGACUGUGUGUGUGACUGCAUCUGUGACUGUGUGGGACUGUCUGCCUGUGACUGCAUCUGUGACAGUCUGUCUGUGACUGUGUGACUGCCUGUGUGUGACUGUCUGCCUGUGCCUUUGUGUGUUGCUGUCUGCCUUUGACUGUGUGUGUGACUGUCUGCCUGGGACUGUGUGAUGCUGCCUGUUACUGUGUUACAGUCUGCCUGUAAUUGUGCGUGUGUGCCUGUAACGGUGUGUGUAUGUGUGAGACUAUCUGCCAGUAGUCGUGCGUGUGACUGUCUGCCUGCAACUGUUUCUGUGUGACUGUCUGCCUCAGGGGCGUACCUAGAGCAUUUGGCACCCGGGGCGGAUCCUGUGCUUGGCACCCCCAAAAAACAUGUAAAAAAAUUUAAAGGUUCGCUUUUUUUUUUUUACAAUUUGUAAACUUUGCAAAACUGCUGUCAGCCCCUCCUACAAAACCCUUGUCCUGUCCCGCCCCUCCUACAAAACCUCUGUCCUGCCCCUUCUACAAAUCCUAUACUGCCUCGUCUACAAAACCCCCGCAACCCCACACACACUUUUACAGGCAGACAGUCACACACUCAGUUACAGGCAGACAGUCACAUACAGUCACAGGCAGACAGUCACACAUACACAUUUCCUCCAUGCGGCCAGUUUAUCAGCUGUUUGCUUGUGUGAGCUGUACUGGCUGCACGGCACCCUAACUACCAUGGGACACUGUGCGGCCACAGCUCACACAGCCCCCUCCAGCCAGGGCCGGUGCAAGGAUUUUUGCCGCCCUAGGCAAAAGUAAAGUUUGCCGCCCCCCCCCAUGUGACAUCACAAUGCCCCACCCAUAUGAUUUGCCAUGUUAACUAACGCCAGUGCUGCAGUGCCGCUGUGUUUACAUUAAAAGGCCUGCAGGGACAGGCUAUAGACACCAGAGCCACUACAUUAAGCUGAAGUGGUUCUGGGGACUAUAGUGUUUCUUUAAUGUGAGGUAAAUUAGAGCUUAGUGCCACAAAUAAUAUACUAGAUUGCCUACUUACAACCAGAUGAGGAUGAUGAUGGGCUCUAGCUGCAGUCUGGCUCCACUGGUCUGGUGCAGAACAGGCUCUCUGGAGGCGGUUUGUAACUGUGGUCACAAAAAUCAAUGUUCUGGGAGAACGGGAAGCAGCUCCAUUUUUUGGGGGUCCUUUACACAGCUCAAGGUCUGGGUCCCAGGGUCCACCUUCAUGUUCCACCAAUGAGUUUGUUCACAGGGGGUGGAGUGUGUAGGGGAUGUCCUGAUAUGUGUGUAAGGAAUGCAUUGUGUGAAAUUGUGUUUGUAUGUGUAAGGGCUGCAAGGUGUGUUUCUGUGUAUGUAUGGGAUGCAUUGAAUGUGUGUAAGGGGUGCAUUGAGUGUGUGUAAUGAAUGCAUUGUGUGUUUCUGUGUGUGUAAGGGAUGCAUUGUGUGUAACGGUUGCAUUGCUUGUGUAUGUGUGUCUGUGUGUGUAAUGCAUUGUGUGUUUUUCUGUGUGCAAGGGGUGCAUUGUGUGUAUGUGAUGAAUGUCAAUCUCUCCUCCCGCUCCAAUUUCCUUCUCCUCCUCCCAAUUUCUCUUUCUCACCCCUCCUCUCUCCCCCCUAAUUUCUCUUCCUCCUUCAAUUUCUCCCCCCAAUUUCUCUUUCCCCCCUCCUAAUAUCUCUCCCUCCCUCCUAAUUUCUCUUCCCCCCUCCUUUCUCAUCUGACUGUCUUUGCCCUGCAGUGAGCCGGCAGCCGGGAUAUGAUGUCAUCCCAGCAUUGGCAUCACAGGGCAUGUGAGGGACCUGUGCAGGAAGAGCACAGAGAUCCCAGCAGCAACAAUUGACCACCAGGGACUGAUGAUCCAUUCCAGCCAUCCCAGAGCAAGGUGUGUGUGUGUGUGUAUGUGAUGUCUGUGUGUGUGUGUCUGUGAUUGUGUUGUGUAUGUAUGUGAUUAUGUGUGUAUCUCUGUGGUUAAGUAUGUGUGUUGUGAUUUUGUGCGUUUAUGUAUGUGAUUGUGUGUGUGGAUUUGUGAUUGUGUGUGUGUGUCUGUGGUUAUGUGGGUGUAUGUCUCCGAUUGUGUAUUAUAUAUAUAUAUAGACACACACACAGACAUACAUCUAUUGUGUUAUUGUGUGUGUGUGUAUAUAUAUAUAUAUAAAUGUUUAUGUAUUUAGUAGAUAGCUCCCUUAAUUGGUGUCCUUAAAUCUUGCAAUCCCACAUAAGGAUAACAAAUAAGGGAUUUAUCUAUUGAACAACUGAAAGAUUAAAAUUAAGAAAAGGGCUUUUAAAAUUUUGAUCUUUUAGCUGUUUAGUAGAUACUUUCCUAAAUUGGUGUCCUUAUGCGAGAUUUCCAUAUUUAAAGAUACCAAAUUAGGGUGCUGUUUAGGAGAUAGCUCCCUUAUUUGAUGUCCUUAAAUAUGGCAAUCCCACAUAAGGACAGCAAAUAGGGGAGUUAUCUCAUAAAAAUGAUCGAAGUUAAGAGGUGUCUGCCAGCCCACAACAGGAAAUCUGGGUGGCUAAUGUGAAUUCUAUGCAAAUUCGUUGUUUGCAUCAGACAGAAAAUGGCAGCACAUUACCCCAUCGCCUAGUGAAAAGUUUUAGUGCAACCCCAGUUUUGACUGUGUUGUAUCUUAUGCCGCACCAGGAGGUGGGAGGGUCUGGGAGGGAGGGUCUGCUGCUGAUUGGCUGGAAUGUGUCUGCUGACUGUGAGGUACAGGGUCAAAGUUUACUCAAUGAUGAGUCCGUGGCGAACCGUUCGGGACAUCACUAGUUAACACAGUAAAGGAGUUUAAGCAUGCGUGGGAUAGGCAUAAGGCUAUCCUAACUAUAAGAUAAGGCCAGGGACUAAUGAAAGUAUUUAGAAACUUGGGCAGAAUAGAUGGGCUGACUGGUUCUUAUCUGGGUCACAUUCUGUGUUUCUUUCUUUCUAUAAGCUGUAUUGAUUUUUCUGACUACGUCCCUAGUUUAUCGAUAUUAAUGUAAAGUAAAAUUCUAAGUGAAUUUUAUUUUUAAGGCUUUAUAGCUGAAAUGAAAACGUGAAAAGUUUAAAUAGAAGAUAGCAGGUUGCGGAACUUGGACUGCAAGCCGGCAAGACGUGUAUCGCAUGAGCUCCUGCUGCUAACGCUGCUUACCCGGUGAUAAUUCGAGCUACAGAAUCGGACGCCUAUACCCAAGGUGACUCUCAUGCUGGGGGUAUCUUGGUCUACCUGUGGAACCUUAAUCAACGCCCAGAGGAACCGAGAACUGAGGCGGCAGGUUGCGGCCUACUGGAGAUGGAGUGGAGGAGAGACGGCUGCUUUCUUCCCUCUAAAUCCAACCACACUAGACAUAAUUGACCUACCUCUCUCCCCUCACCCCCUCCUCUGGACAGGUCCCCUCUGGAGAGCAGUCGGCUACACCAGCGCUGCCUUUCACAUCAACAAUACGCUGAUUUCAAAUAUGUAACUUUUAUUAAUAUUGCAUGCAUACUUUUAAAGUUAUAAGAAUUGUGUAAAAACUGUAUAUUUUCUGCCUGUGCUAAUUCAGUUAGUCUAUUGUCUUGAGAUAAUUGUAUCACAGGCAGAGGGGAGGAUUUCUGCUUGGAGCGGUUUACUUUAUUGUAUGUGUUAUAAUGUUUUUAUUGGUUGUUCUGAAAAACCCUGUGGGCGGUCCUGUAUGUGUUAAACCUGCAUGAAAGAAGGCCCUUUGGUGCCAAGUAAAACAGAGUUCUUCUUCACCCUCAAUCUAGAGUCCUGUCUCUUAUUGGGGGAAUUGCUAUAUCACUACAAGGGAUUGCUAUGCUCUGCAUACUCCCUUAGCUAAUCACUACUAAGCUCUUUUAAGAGCUUGUUCCUGCUUCACUCUCUUGGAGGAGUGGUGCACCCACUGGAACCUGGAGCCUUGUCAUAGGUCCAGUGUGGGUAGGAGACGGCGAGACGAAAGCCAAGCUGCGGCGGUUCGUGGGGUCUGCGGUGGUUGUGGUGUCUGGCGGAGCACUUUGAGCCCUCUGUAAGCGCUAGGAGCAUCCUUCAACGGAGGUACCAAGUCGGGGUGCCAGGUGAUCCAUUACACUACUACUGAUGAGAUAAAGUACCAUAGUACAAGAGCAAAUAUACAGAAACCUGUUUUAAUUUCAUGAAUAUCCCUGCUUAUUUAAGUCAAUUCCAUUGAAAGGUCCAUUAGUGUGGAUGGCUACCCCUCAUCUCCAAUAUAAUGUAGCAGAUGUUGUACAUGUGUAGACCACGGCUCUGCAAUGAGUAGAACUAGUUUUGGGUAUAAACUGUUUUUUUUGUUGUUGUUUUUUUUUUUUUUUAUAUAAAGUCCCAUUGGGAAGUGGACUAUCUUACUGUGGUGGGAGGGGCCUAACUGCAUUGCGAAACGUUCAAGAUAAGUAAACUUAAAAAAUAAAAAAAUUAAAUGCAUUAUUUAAGGCAUUAGAAACAUUAUACUACAUUUAACAAUGGAGAUAUUAAUAAAUGUAUGCCUGUCUUUAUUGGGGGGUAGCUCCCUCCCCACACACACAUACUGGCAAAAACAUAACCAAAGUAUUCUGGUUGGCCUGCACUAUACAGAAUGUUUUACGUUGCUUGAUAUUGUGACCUUUUACCCAUGGCUAUUAUUCAGCACUCCGUUACUCCAGUCUUUGCAUGGAAUCAAAUCAGAUGCGUACCUAGAGCAUUUGGCACACCGCUUCAUGCAGUGACCGGCAGGAGGAGUGCCCUGUGCAGUGUACUCCCCUCAUUCUCGUCACCCAGAGAUCAUGCCCCCUGGGCCACAGUGCCACUUAAUCCGUCCCUGAAUGGCACCCCCUUAAUGAGUGAUCCCUGGGGCAGGCCGCCCCCCUGUUAGUAUGCCGCUGCUUGGGAGUGUUAAUUUCUGUAUAGUUUAAAACUAAUACUUUAAUUUUGUGUAUGUAUUAUUAUUUAGGGAGACAGAAUAUUUUUGCCAAAACAUUUCAGUAUCGCACCAAAUGCUAUACAUCCUCCCCCCACCGCCCCUACCUGCUCUUCCCUCAUUUCCUGCAGGAAAGCAGGUGCAUUCUCAACUACCUUUACAUUCUUUCUUUCUCCAGAGCUGCACCCUGAUUUCCCUCUUCCUCUUGCUCCUCGUUUUAUUAUAGGAUGCUCCCUCAGCUUCCUCUAACCGUAACUAUUUAACUACUGUAAACACCCCUGCAUCCUCAUGUCUCAACUACCCAUUAUUCCCGUUAGGUUGUAAGCUCAUAAGUUAUCUUAAUACUCAAUUUGUAUAAAAGUACUGUAUUUACUAGAUUAGGAUUUUGGUGGCAGGGUCUUCUUAUUUUUUUGUAUCAGUACGUGUUCAUUAUUUGUCUGUAUCCCCUUUAAUGUACAAUGCUGCGGAAGCUUAUGAACACAUUUGUAGUUUUGUUUAUAGAUAUAUCCACAGUAACCAUUUAUUAACUAAUGUAUAACCAUUAUAUACUUCAUGUUGUUAAAGGAUCACUAUAGGGUCAGGAACACAAACAUGUAUUCCUAACCCUAUAGUGUUAAAAACACCAUCUAAUCCUCCCAACACCCCUAAAUAUAGCAAAAUCUUACCUUUUUCCAGUCUGCUGCUGCUGGCUCUGUCCCUGAUCUGCCUGCUUGUCUGACAUCAUCAGAAGUUGUGUUCUGAGCCAAUCACAAUGCUUUCACAUAGGAUUGGCUGAGAUUGUCAAGGAGGCAGAUCAGGGUUAGAGCCAGCACAAGCCAAACACAAUCCACGCCAAUCAGCAUCUCCUCAAUGCAUCUCCAUGAGGAAAGUUCUGUAUCUCCAUGCAGAGGGCUGAGACACUGAAUGGCAGUGCUUCACUGUGUGCAGCACUGCCCCAGGAAGCACCUUUAGUAGCCAUCUGAGGAUUUGCCAGUGGAGGUAUCCCUAUGCAGUAAUGGAAACAUUGCAUAUUCUCUGAAAAGACGAUGUUUACUGCAAAAGAUCUGAAUGGAAUGAUUAUACAUCCCAGAACAAAUACAAUAAGCUGUAGUUGUUCUGGUAAAUUUAGUUUCCCUUUAAGUGUCCUGUGUGGAACUGGAAAGUUGUUCACGAGACUAAUUAAAGGGAAAUGGUCUCUUCUGAAAGUUACCUUGUUGAAUAAAACAUUAAAAAUCCAGUUUUAGUCCAGAGCACAUAUUGUAAACUAGACAAAUGGAAACUUUACUUAAUUUCUCUGUAUGCUUUCUCUAUGUUGACUGCCAGGUACAAAGGACAGAGCUUAUUACAAUGAUUGAGAGGGAGCUAGAAUGGAAGUGCCCAGUUGCAGGAUUAAGAGUUAAGGUUUUGUACAUUUAAUUUAGGUUUUCACACUUUACAAGUGUAUAUAUUUGCUAAAUAUAGGGGAAUAAGUAAGCAUAGUAUGAAAACUCCACAGUUCCCUUUUAAUGUUUAUUACUGAUGAAUAUUUUUGUAAAGGUAAAUAAAAGAAUAUAUAGUUUUUUUUAAACUGUGAAUUAUACUUUUCGCUCAACAGUCAGAUAUUCUAAAGCUGUUCACACCUUACUGACGUAAUGUGUAAUAUUAGAGAUGUAAUAUUGUUAUAAUCAAUCUAUUUCAAACAAGUAACAUGACAACAUAUUGAAAAAUGCAAAUAUAUAAUUUAUUUAGGGUAAAAUAGGGGAUGUGGUUGGAGGUUAGGUGCUACAAAAAAAAAGAAGAAAGAAAUUCACAUUUUGCAAGUUUCUCCCUCUUCAGUCAUUCAAACUUCUUCACUCCUGCCCUUCUUUCUGUAAGACGAAUGAUAUAGAUUAAAUUAAACAGGCUGCAGCUAUAAUCCAAGGUUAUGCUCUUGAGUUAUAUAAGUCCCCCUCCAUUAAAAAGCUUGAUAAUGCCAAUUUUGAGAAUACUUCUUCAUCCAUAAAGAACUUUUAGGGUGAAUAACAAUAACUAAAGAUAAACUGAACAUGAUAGAAAAAUUGUAUCACCAGUGACUUAGAACUAGGGUUGUACCUUGCCGACAUCACGGCUCUUAGCUCUGAGCUUGUUCACUUGAGACUCGGCAAUGUCUGCUCUCUCCUCAGCUUCCUCUAGCUCAUGCUGGACCUUCCUGAACCGACCCAAGUGAGCGUUGGCUUGUUCCUCCUAAGACACAAGAAUGAAUGAAGAAUAAUUAACAAAGUAUUUGUAUAUAUGACUGCUACUUGUAGGGUAUUCUUACAGGGUAUUCUAAUUAGACUUUGGCUGGCUACAAACAAGAAUUCACUGGGUUUGUACUUACAGAUUCCUCAGCUUGUCUCUUGUAGGCCUUUACUUUCAGCUGCAGUUUGUCCACCAGAUCCUGCAAUCUCAGGACAUUUUUCCUGUCUUCUUCAGUCUGAAAGAGGAAAAACAGUUUUACAGAAUCUACUAGAGAUCAUGGCAUUAUUUUUUGUAAUUAUUAUUUUUUUUAAAGUAAUAUAUAUAUAAUCUACACUUAUAUAUUUCUUCUUUAUGACCAGUUUCAUUUUAAUACACAGAAGAAUAAUAAUUUACCUGGUAAGAUAGCUCCUUCACUCUCCUCUCGUAUUUGCGCACACCUUUAAUUGCCUCAACUCCACGUUUCUGUUCAUUAUCCAGUUCGUUCUCUAGUUCUCGAACCUGCAGAUCACAUCAGCAGAUUAAGGAUUAUUAUUUAGCAAUUUCUAAAUUCAACCUCAUUCACUACAACCCAGUGACUUGUACGUACUCUGGACUCAAGCUUCUGAAGCUGCUUCUUGCCGCCCUUCAGUGCUAGCUGCUCAGCUUCAUCCAGACGAUGCUGAAGAUCCUUCACAGUUUGCUCAAGGUUCUUCUUCAUUCUCUCCAAGUGAGAGCUGGUGUCCUGCUCCUUCUUCAGUUCCUCUGCCAUAAGAGCAGCCUUUGAAAAAAUUUAAGAAGACCAUGAAAAAAACCCAAAAACUCCCCCCAAGAAACAAAGAAAAACAAAAAGCAAACUGCUCAUAACGUGGAAACUUGGGACAAACAUACAUCGGUGAUGGCCUUCUUGGCUUUCUCCUCAGCAUUUCUUGAUUCUUGGACAGCUUCCUCAGCUUCGCUCUGGAGUUGAGCAAUGUCAGACUCAAGCUUCUUCUUGGUGUUGAUGAGGCUGGUGUUCUGAAGUGGAGACGAAUAUAGUGUAUUAAUUAUUCCAUCUAAUUAGGCACAUUCUGUCAAUGCACAUUUAAUUUGUUUCCAUCUUAUUUAUUUUACCUGUGAGUGCAGAAGCUGGACGCGUUCACUUGCAUCCAGGAGCUCUUGUUCUGCAGCCUUACGAGAUCUCUCUGUCUGUUCCAGAGCAGACCUGUUCUCUUCAAGUUCAGCCUGCAGCAGGUUGGUUCUACGUUCAAUCACGGCCACCUGUUCCUUCAGAUCUUCCUGUCCUCUUACUGCAUCAUCCAGAUGAAGCUGGGUAUCCUGUUAAAGAAAUAUCAAAUUAUAUGUUCAAGGUGUUACCUAUUAUG